AACGAACGCUGGCGGCAUGCCUAACACAUGCAAGUCGAACGAGACCUUCGGGUCUAGUGGCGCACGGGUGCGUAACGCGUGGGAACCUGCCCUUAGGUUCGGAAUAACUCCCCGAAAGGGGUGCUAAUACCGGAUAAUGUCUUCGGACCAAAGAUUUAUCGCCUUUGGAUGGGCCCGCGUUGGAUUAGCUAGUUGGUAGGGUAAAAGCCUACCAAGGCGACGAUCCAUAGCUGGUCUGAGAGGAUGAUCAGCCACACUGGGACUGAGACACGGCCCAGACUCCUACGGGAGGCAGCAGUGGGGGAUAUUGGACAAUGGGCGAAAGCCUGAUCCAGCGAUGCCGCGUGAGUGAUGAAGGCCUUAGGGUUGUAAAGCUCUUUUACCCGGGAUGAUAAUGACAGUACCGGGAGAAUAAGCUCCGGCUAACUCCGUG
rnacentral:rRNA from 1 species